CAACAGGGAUUGCCUCAGUAACGGCGAGUGAAGCGGCAACAGCUCAAAUUUGAAAUCUGGCCUCGGCCCGAGUUGUAAUUUGUAGAGGAAGCUUUUGGUGCGGCACCGACCGAGUCCCCUGGAACGGGGCGCCAUAGAGGGUGAGAGCCCCGUAUGGUUGGACGCCUAUCCUGUGUAAAGCUCCUUCGACGAGUCGAGUAGUUUGGGAAUGCUGCUCAAAAUGGGAGGUAAAUUUCUUCUAAAGCUAAAUACUGGCCAGAGACCGAUAGCGCACAAGUAGAGUGAUCGAAAGAUGAAAAGCACUUUGAAAAGAGGGUUAAAUAGCACGUGAAAUUGUUGAAAGGGAAGCGCUCGUGACCAGACUUGCGCCGCGCCGAUCAUCCGGGGUUCUCCCCGGUGCACUCGGCGCGGCUCAGGCCAGCAUCGGUUUUCGCGGGGGGACAAAGGUCCCGGGAACGUAGCUCCUCCGGGAGUGUUAUAGCCCGGGGCGUAAUGCCCUCGCGGGGACCGAGGACCGCGCUUCGGCAAGGAUGCUGGCGUAAUGGUCACCGGCGACCCGUCUUGAAACACGGACCAAGGAGUCAAGGUUUUGCGCGAGUGUUUGGGUGUAAAACCCGCACGCGUAAUGAAAGUGAACGUAGGUGAGAGCUUCGGCGCAUCAUCGACCGAUCCUGAUGUAUUCGGAUGGAUUUGAGUAGGAGCGUUAAGCCUUGGACCCGAAAGAUGGUGAACUAUGCUUGGAUAGGGUGAAGCCAGAGGAAACUCUGGUGGAGGCUCGCAGCGGUUCUGACGUGCAAAUCGAUCGUCAAAUCUGAGCAUGGGGGCGAAAGACUAAUCGAACCAUCUAGUAGCUGGUUACCGCCGAAGUUUCCCUCAGGAUAGCAGUGUUGUUCUUCAGUUCUAUGAGGUAAAGCGAAUGAUUAGGGACUCGGGGGCGCUUUUUAGCCUUCAUCCAUUCUCAAACUUUAAAUAUGUAGGAAGCCCUUGUUACUUAACUGAACGUGGGCGUUCGAAUGAACCAACACUAGUGGGCCAUUUUUGGUAAGCAGAACUGGCGAUGCGGGAUGAACCGAACGCGGGGUUAAGGUGCCGGAGUGGACGCUCAUCAGACACCACAAAAGGCGUUAGUACAUCUUGACAGCAGGACGGUGGCCAUGGAAGUCGGAAUCCGCUAAGGACUGUGUAACAACUCACCUGCCGAAUGUACUAGCCCUGAAAAUGGAUGGCGCUCAAGCGUCCCACCCAUACCCCGCCCUCAGGGUAGAAACGAUGCCCUGAGGAGUAGGCGGCCGUGGGGGUCAGUGACGAAGCCUAGGGCGUGAGCCCGGGUCGAACGGCCUCUAGUGCAGAUCUUGGUGGUAGUAA
rnacentral:rRNA from 1 species